GUGUCAGCCGCCGCGGUAAUACGGGGGGGGCGAGCGUUGUUCGGAAUUAUUGGGCGUAAAGGGCGCGUAGGCGGUGUGGUAAGUCUGAUGUGAAACCUCCAGGCUCAACCUGGAGCUGGCAUCAGAAACUGCCGUGCUAGAGUGCGGGAGAGGAGAGUGGAAUUCCUGGUGUAGCGGUGAAAUGCGUAGAUAUCAGGAGGAACACCGGUGGCGAAAGCGGCUCUCUAGACCGCAACUGACGCUGAGGCGCGAAAGCUAGGGGAGCAAACAGGAUUAGAAACCCGGGUAGUCC
rnacentral:rRNA from 1 species